rnacentral:snRNA from 1 species
AGCUUUGUGCAGUGGCAGUAUGAUAGCCAAUGAGGUUUCCCUGAGGCACAAUUAUUACUAAUUGAAAACUUUUCUCAAUACCCCACCAUGACAGCUUGCAAUAUAGUUGACAUUGGCAAACUUUGACAGUCCCUACAGGGA